rnacentral:rRNA from 1 species
GCAUGUCUAAGUAUAAGCAACUUGUACUGUGAAACUGCGAAUGGCUCAUUAAAUCAGUUAUCGUUUAUUUGAUAGUACCUUACUACAUGGAUACCUGUGGUAAUUCUAGAGCUAAUACAUGCUAAAAACCCCGACUUCAGGAAGGGGUGUAUUUAUUAGAUAAAAAACCAACGCCCUUCGGGGCUCCUUGGUGAAUCAUAAUAACUUAACGAAUCGCAUGGCCUUGCGCCGGCGAUGGUUCAUUCAAAUUUCUGCCCUAUCAACUUUCGAUGGUAGGAUAGUGGCCUACCAUGGUGGCAACGGGUAACGGGGAAUUAGGGUUCGAUUCCGGAGAGGGAGCCUGAGAAACGGCUACCACAUCCAAGGAAGGCAGCAGGCGCGCAAAUUACCCAAUCCCGAUACGGGGAGGUAGUGACAAUAAAUACUGAUACGGGGCUCUUUUGGGUCUCGUAAUUGGAAUGAGAACAAUUUAAAUCCCUUAACGAGGAACAAUUGGAGGGCAAGUCUGGUGCCAGCAGCCGCGGUAAUUCCAGCUCCAAUAGCGUAUAUUAAAGUUGUUGCAGUUAAAAAGCUCGUAGUUGAACCUUGGGCCUGGCUGGCCGGUCCGCCUCACCGCGAGUACUGGUCCGGCUGGGCCUUUCCUUCUGGGGAACCUCAUGGCCUUCACUGGCUGUGGGGGGAACCAGGACUUUUACUGUGAAAAAAUUAGAGUGUUCAAAGCAGGCCUUUGCUCGAAUACAUUAGCAUGGAAUAAUAGAAUAGGACGUGUGGUUCUAUUUUGUUGGUUUCUAGGACCGCCGUAAUGAUUAAUAGGGAUAGUCGGGGGCGUCAGUAUUCAGCUGUCAGAGGUGAAAUUCUUGGAUUUGCUGAAGACUAACUACUGCGAAAGCAUUCGCCAAGGAUGUUUUCAUUAAUCAGGGAACGAAAGUUAGGGGAUCGAAGACGAUCAGAUACCGUCGUAGUCUUAACCAUAAACUAUGCCGACUAGGGAUCGGACGGGAUUCUAUAAUGACCCGUUCGGCACCUUACGAGAAAUCAAAGUUUUUGGGUUNUGGGGG